UGCACUAAGGUGUGCUUCCACUGAACCUACCUGAAACACCGCAAGCACUAAUUCAUCUCUGUUACAGACCAUUAAUAUUUUUGGUCCUCUCAGCUCCAUGGGCAAACAGCCGCAGCCAAUGACACCAGUAACCACCUAGGGCAAAACCACCUUCCACCUCCCAGCCCUGUUCACAUACAGUGCAGCCCCAGGACUUAGCUGUGUCCACGCUGCAAGUCAGAGCUCAUCCUCCAUGGCCAGCCGCAGAUCUCCACAGAGCUCCCAGCUGUGACAACGCUCCUUCGAUGCAGAGGCCCGAACGAGACCGUGGAGACCCACGCAAGUACGUACGAGCCUGUACAAAGCCCAUACAAGGCCUGUAUGAGCUUGUAGAGGUCUUUAUGAACUCGUACGAGCCCGUGAAGGCCCGCAGGAGCCCGUACAAGCCUGUACAAGGCCUGUACAAGCCCGUAGAGGCCCAUACGAGUCUGUAUGAGCCCGUGCAGCCUGCAUGAGCCCGUGUGAGCCAGUACAAACCUGUACGAAGUCUGUACGAGACUGCAGAGCCCCCUAUGAGCCCAUAUGAGCCCUUUAAGGCCCACACAAGCCCGUAGAGGCCCAUACGAGCCCGUGGAGACCCGUACGAGCCCGUAGAGAUCCACACAAGCCCAUGGAGACCCGCAUGAGCCUUUAUGAGCCCGUAUGAGGCCUAUACAAGAUCGUGCAAGCCCAUGGAGGCCCGCACAAGGCUAAACGAGCCUGUACGAGCCCAUAUGAAGCCUGUAUAAGCCUGCAGAUUCCUGUACGAGUCUGCACAAGCUGUGGGGACCCAUGCGAGUUUGUACGAGGCCCGUAUGAGUCCAUAGAGGACCAUACAAACCCACAUGAGCCCGUGGAGGCCUGCAUGAGCUUGCAGGAGCCCAUACGAGCCUGUAGAGGUCUGUACGAGCCUGUAGAGUCCCAUACAAGCCCGUACAAGCCUCUACAGGAUCCUACUGGCCUUGUACAGGCCUCGUACGGGCCUUUACAGGUUCGUUCGGGCCUCACACGGGCUUGUGCGGGCCUCCACAGCCUCAUACAGGCUCGUAUGGGCUCAUGCAGACCUCCAUGGGCUCAUACGGGCUUGUACAGGCUCGUGCGGGCCUCCACAACCUCGCAGGAGCUCACACAGGCCUCUACAGGCUUAUACAGGCCUCGUACAGGCUUGUGCAGGCCUCCAUGGGCUCGCAUGGGCCUCCUAUGGGCUUGUAUGGGCUCAUGCGGGCCUCCAUGGGCUUGCACAGGCUCGCACAGGCCUUGUACCAGAUCAUACAAGCUCAUGCAGGCCUCCACAGGCUCACAAGGGCUUGCACAGGCCUCUACAGGCUCGUACGGGCUCGCACGGGCCUCUACAGGGUCGCAUGGGCCUUGUACGGGCUCGUACGGGUUCAUGCGGGCUUCCACGGGCUUGUACAGGCCUCUACGGGCUCGCAUAGGCCUCCUUUGGGCUCGUAAAGGCUCAUGUGGGCCUCCACGGGCUUGCACGAGCUCUCACGGACCUCUAUGGGGUCACACAGACCUCGUACGGGCUCGUAUGGGCUCGUGCAGGCCUUUAUGGGCUCGUUUGUGCUCGUGCAUACUGUACGGACUCUUAUGGGCCUCUACAGUGUGGGAUGGGCUCGCAUGGGUUUGUGGGGGCCUCUACAGGCUUUUACGGGCCUGUUAAGACUUCUACAGGCUCAUAUCAUCUUGUUCUGGCCUCUACAGGCUCUUACAGGCCUCUUCUUAAAGGCUCGUACGGGCCUCUUUGGGCUCCUGUGGGCCUCUACAGGCUCUCAUGCCAGCUCGAACCCGUACGAGCCCGUCCCAGCACGUGCUUAGGUUGGGCUCUACGGGCUCGUACGGCGUUGUCACUGGCUCUAGCAGCUCGUCCCCCCCGUCCGCUGUCAGAAUCCGCAAAAAGCCCCAAUUUGGAGGUUUCUCUUUCCAAAACGGGCCCCGCCGACAGCCCUACUCCGCCGCGGGCGCCAUGGCGAGCCACGCCGGAGUGUCGCCCGUCACUUCCGCCCGGCCUCGGCCGGAUGUCGAGAUGCCUCUUUCCGCCUCGGUAGCCGCAGGGAUGACGGCGGCACUUCCGGUCCCUCGGCUCUGAUUGGGCGAUGCGGGCCGGGCGGGAUUUCCCGCAGGGCCGCUUCCUGUUUCCGGUAGGGGGUGGCGGGUGGUGGUCGGCGGGGUCUCGGGGGGCGCCGCUGCCAAAUAGUGAGAACCGGAGUCUCGUCUUGGGGCGGGCUGGGGCUGACGGAUAGUGAUCCCGCCCGGUUCCCUGACUUGGCGGGGUGCUCGCGUGCCCCGGUGGGGUGGUGCUCGGGCGCCUGGGUCCCUUUAGAGGAGGGAGGGCGACCCUUGGCUCGCUUUCCGCGGGGCCCGGACGCCUGGGUCCCUUUGGCGGGGGGGAGGAGCGGCCCUUGGGUCCCUAGCGGGGGAGGAGGGGGCGGACGCCUGGGUCCUCAGGCCGCCCCCCCCGGCCCAGGCCGCCAUGAGCCUGCAGUGGACCGCGGUGGCGACCUUCCUCUACGCUGAGGUCUUCCUCGUCCUGCUGCUCUGCGUCCCCUUCGUCUCAG
ensembl:lncRNA